AUUGAACGCUGGCGGCAGGCCUAACACAUGCAAGUCGAACGAGUGGCGGACGGGUGAGUAAUGUCUGGGAAACUGCCUGAUAGAGGGGGAUAACUACUGGAAACGGUAGCUAAUACCGCAUACUAUCAGAUGGGCCCAAAUGGGAUUAGCUAGUGGGGGGGGUAACGGCUCACCAAGGCGACGAUCCCUAGCUGGUUUGAGAGGAUGAACAGCCAAACUGGAACUGAGACACGGGCCAGACUCAUACGGGAGUCAGCAGUGGGGAAUAUUGCACAAUGGGAGAAAGCCUGAUGCAGCCAUGCCGCGUGUAUGAAGAAGGCCUUCGGGUUGUAAAGUACUUUCAGCGGGGAGGCGUUACCCGCAGAAGAAGCACCGGCUAACUCCGUGCCAGCAGCCGCGGUAAUUC
rnacentral:rRNA from 1 species